GGAUGUGAGGGCGAUCUGGCUGCGACAUCUGUCACCCCAUUGAUCGCCAGGGUUGAUUCGGCUGAUCUGGCUGGCUAGGCUGGUGUCCCCUUUCUCCCUCAACGCUCCAUGUGCGUCCCUCCUGAAGCUGCGCGCUCGGUCGAAGAGGACGACCACCCCCGAUAGAGGAGGACUGUUCCUCGGUCAAGGGUAUACGAGUAGCGGCGCUCCCCUGCUAGAACCUCCAAACAAGCUCUUGAGAAAUCAAAAGUAUAAAUAAAUAACAAAAUAUACAAUCGGUAUU
rnacentral:snRNA from 1 species